UGGAAAUAAGAAAUUGGCGGCAAACUGCUCUGUUUACUUUUUGGCGUGAAAAUAAAUAUUCUUUGUCCGAACAAACUGUUGAUAAUAAUGGAAAUUGUUAGUCAGGAAAAUUAACAUGCGUCCCUUGUUUUUCGUGGAAUAAAACUAACGACCUGACGGCUGCUGACAAAAACUAAUUACGUCAGUUUAUACUAAUAUAUGUCGUUCUUUAUCGCUAAUUAACAACUUUUCCCCGUUCGUCCCCUUUUUCUCGCAAUUCCGCAAUAUUUAGCGACGUUCGAGUUUCGCCAUAGCGAUCUCUUCGAUAUUUGGCUCAGCAAUAAUCGCAAAAUAUCAUCUGUGUUAGAUAGCAUUUAUGAAAAAAUUAGCCAUUACCACGUCGAAGA